rnacentral:rRNA from 1 species
UACGUAGGGUGCAAGCGUUUAAUCGGAAUUACUGGGCGUAAAGCGUGCGCAGGCGGUUUUGUAAGACAGAUGUGAAAUGCCCGGGCUUAACCUGGGAACUGCAUUUGUGACUGCAAGGCUAGAGUUUGGCAGAGGGGGGUAGAAUUCCACGUGUAGCAGUGAAAUGCGUAGAUAUGUGGAGGAAUACCGAUGGCGAAGGCAGCCCCUGGCUAACACUGACGCUCAUGCACGAAAGCGUGGGGAGCAAACAGG